AGUGAACGCUGGCGGUAUGCUUUACACAUGCAAGUCGAGCGGCAGCACGGGGGCAACCCUGGUGGAGAGGGGCGGACGGGUGAGUAAUAGAGCGGAACAUGCCCAGUCGUGGGGGAUAACACGUCGAAAGAGGGGAUAAUACCGCAUACGUCCUGAGGGAGAAAGCGGGGGAUCGCAAGACCUUGGGCGAUUGCACUGGUCGAUGUCAGAUUAGCUAGUUGGUGGGGUAAAGGCCUACCAAGGCAACGAUCCGUAGCUGGUCUGAGAGGAUGAUCAGCCACACUGGGACUGAGACACGGCCCAGACUCCUACGGGAGGCAGCAGUGGGGAAUUUUGGACAAUGGGGGCAAGCCUGAUCCAGCCAUUCCGCGUGAGUGAAGAAGGCCUUCGGGUUGUAAAGCUCUUUUGUCAGGAACGAAACGGCGCGCUCUAAUAUAGCGUGCUAAUGACGGUACCCGAAGAAGAAGCACCGGCUAACUACGUG
rnacentral:rRNA from 1 species